AUUGAACGCUGGCGGCAGGCCUAACACAUGCAAGUCGAACGAGUGGCGGACGGGUGAGUAAUGUCUGGGAAACUGCCUGAUGGAGGGGGAUAACUACUGGAAACGGUAGCUAAUACCGCAUACCAUCAGAUGUGCCCAGAUGGUGUUAUCUAGGUGGUGGGGUAACGGCUCACCAAGGCGACGAUCCCUAGCUGGUCUGAGAGGAUGACCAGCCACACGUGAACUUAUACACGGUCCAGACUCCUACGGGAGGCAGCAGUGGUGAAUAUUGCACAAUGGGCGCAAGCCUGAUGCAGCCAUGCCGCGUGUAUGAAGAAGGCCUUCGGGUUGUAAAGUACUUUCAGCGGGGAGGCGUUACCAGAAGAAGAAGCACCGGCUAACUCCGUGCCAGCAGCCGCGGUAAUUC
rnacentral:rRNA from 1 species